rnacentral:tRNA from 1 species
GGCCUGUUGGUCUAGUGGCAUGAUUCUCGCUUCGGGUGCGAGGGGUGCCAGAUUCGAUUUCCAGACAGGCCC